rnacentral:rRNA from 1 species
GACGAACGCUGGCGGCGUGCCUAAUACAUGCAAGUUGAGCGCUGAAGGUUGGUACUUGUACCCACUGGAUGAGCAGCGAACGGGUGAGUAACGCGUGGGGAAUCUGCCUUUGAGCGGGGGACAACAUUUGGAAACGAAUGCUAAUACCGCAUAAAAACUUUAAACACAAGUUUUAAGUUUGAAAGAUGCAAUUGCAUCACUCAAAGAUGAUCCCGCGUUGUAUUAGCUAGUUGGUGAGGUAAAGGCUCACCAAGGCGAUGAUACAUAGCCGACCUGAGAGGGUGAUCGGCCACAGUGGGACUGAGACACGGCCCAAACUCCUACGGGAGGCAGCAGUAGGGAAUCUUCGGCAAUGGACGAAAGUCUGACCGAGCAACGCCGCGUGAGUGAAGAAGGUUGUCGGAUCGUAAAACUCUGUUGGUAGAGAAGAACGUUGGUGAGAGUGGAAAGCUCAUCAAGUGACGGUAACUACCCAGAAAGGGACGGCUAACUACGUG